GACGAACCGUGCGAACGUUGUUCGGAAUCACUGGGCUUAAAGGGCGCGUAGGCGGCUUGCCAAGUCAGUGGUGAAAUCCUGCAGCUUAACUGCAGAAGUGCCUUUGAUACUGGCGAGCUCGAGGGAGGUAGGGGUAUGUGGAACUUCUGGUGGAGCGGUGAAAUGCGUAGAGAUCAGGCGGAACACCCGUAGCGAAGGCGGCCAGCUGGGCCGUCCCUGACACUGAGGCGCGAAGGCGUGGGGAGCGAACGGG
rnacentral:rRNA from 1 species